rnacentral:rRNA from 1 species
GUGGGGAAUCUUAGACAAUGGGGGAAACCCUGAUCUAGCCAUGCCGCGUGAGCGAUGAAGGCCUUAGGGUUGUAAAGCUCUUUCAGCUGGGAAGAUAAUGACGGUACCAGCAGAAGAAGCCCCGGCUAACUCCGUGCCAGCAGCCGCGGUAAUACGGAGGGGGCUAGCGUUGUUCGGAAUUACUGGGCGUAAAGCGCGCGUAGGCGGACCAGAAAGUUGGAGGUGAAAUCCCAGGGCUCAACCUUGGACCUGCCUUCAAAACUCCUGGUCUGGAGGUCGAGAGAGGUGAGUCGAAUUCCGAGUGUAGAGGUGAAAUUCGUAGAUAUUCGGAGGAACACCAGUGGCGAAGGCGGCUCACUGGCGCGAUACUGACGCUGAGGUGCGAAAGCGUGGGGAGCAAACAGGAUUAGAAACCCGAGUAGUCC